AUACGGAGGGUGCAAGCGUUACUCGGAAUCACUGGGCGUAAAGCGCGCGCAGGCGGUCUUUUAAGUUGGAUGUGAAAGCCAACGGCUCAACCGUAGAACUGCAUCCAAAACUAUUAGACUAGAGUGUGGGAGAGGAAGAUGGAAUUAGUUGUGUAGGGGUAAAAUCCGUAGAGAUAACUAGGAACACCAAAAGCGAAGGCAAUCUUCUGGAACACUACUGACGCUGAGGCGCGAAAGCGUGGGGAGCAAACAGGAUUAGAAACCCUUGUAGUCC
rnacentral:rRNA from 1 species